rnacentral:rRNA from 1 species
AGGCAGCAGUAGGGAAUCUUCCGCAAUGGGCGAAAGCUGGACGGAGCAAUGCCGCGUGAGUGAUGAAGGUUUUCGGAUCGUAAAGCUCUGUUGCCAGGGAAGAACGUCCGGUAGAGUAACUGCUACCGGAGUGACGGUACCUGAGAAGAAAGCCCCGGCUAACUACGUGCCAGCA